GAUGUAUUUUAUUUCAAUUGAAUAUAAAUGAACGUUAUGAAAAACGAAAGGAAUAAAACUCUUAAAACGGUUGAUGGAUUCAGAUUUCGUUUUCACAAAUCACUAAAAUAUUAAUACUGCAAUUAUAUUACCGGUCCUAAGCAUAAAAAAUACUGAUUUCUCAAAAAACGACGUAAUUAGAAAACUAUUCAGGUACAUAAUAUUAUACAAAAUUUACCCGGACCGCAAUUUAUGCGUAUGUAAGAAAUAUGCUCGGGCCGUAAUUUACAUAUUAGGUAGAAACUAGUGACUAUGUUAUGAUUUUUUAUCGAGGACGCAAUUCACCGAACCGGACCGACCGGACACCGGAUUAUUUAUCGAUAAAACAAAGCUUAUCGGCUCUGUCACCUCGCCGUUUUAGUCGGGCGUCCAUCGCGAAUGCUUCGAGAGAUCGACAAUCUGCAGCGAUUUGCCUAUACGAUUUUCGAGGAACGCAGAAAUACAUCGCGGAUUUCUAAUCUGAUCGAUCAUCGAGUGAUCAUGGUACAUUAAAAAUUUAUUUAAAAAAAAAAAAAAAAUGAACAUACUUUACACGAUAGGUGGACCACUGCUAUAGAUGAAAAUUCGGGAAGUUAAAGGGGAAAUUUAAUGUAUAUCUGUACGUGACGGUUAAUCAUCAUUGUUAACGGAAAACAGUUGUGAGCAGAGUUCGGUUAUACGUGGUUUGAAUGA